UACGUAUGUGGCAAGCGUUGUCCGGAAUUAUUGGGCGUAAAGCGCGCGCAGGUGGUUUCUUAAGUCUGAUGUGAAAGCCCACGGCUCAACCGUGGAGGGUCAUUGGAAACUGGGGAACUUGAGUGCAGGAGAGAAGAGUGGAAUUCCACGUGUAGCGGUGAAAUGCGUAGAGAUGUGGAGGAACACCAGUGGCGAAGGCGACUCUUUGGCCUGUAACUGACACUGAGGCGCGAAAGCGUGGGGAGCAAACAGG
rnacentral:rRNA from 1 species